UGUUUUAAAUUAAAAUGACAUAUUACCUAAUCAUCUAAGGCUGCGUUUGGUGGAGAAGAUAUUCCGGAACAAUACCGAAUAUCUCCGAAUUUGUAAUCAAACUGUGAAAGAACAGAGGGGAACAGAUUGUUCCGAUCAAAGCGGGUUGGUCUGUAACAACCCAAUGAAAAAUUUUUUUAGGAGAACUAAGAACAACUUUGUUCUUCUUUUUAUUUUAUUAGAUAAAUAGAUAUAUAAAUAAAUAUAUUAAUAUAAAUAAUAUUUUUAUGAUAAUAUAUUUAUAUUUAAUUUUAUUAUAUAAUAUAAAUUAAUUAUUUUAUUUUUAAAAAUAUAUUUAAACACUGCUCUAGACUUCUUAUCCAAACGCUACUAAGGUUAUCCUCUAGAAUAUCCCUGAAUGCAUUCAAACACAAAUUUAUAAUUAUUUUAUCAUGUACCGGAAUAUUCUCCUAUUCACAGGAACAACAAAAGUUGUUCUCCAAAAUUUAGUUCGCCAACUAAACUUACCUAGAUUAUAUUUGGUUAUAGAACUAGAGGAUAACUGUGUUUGUUUCCGAAUGUAAAAUUUAUUCUGACACAAA
rnacentral:lncRNA from 1 species